UGCCAAGUAGCUCGCUGGGCCUGGAU
rnacentral:piRNA from 1 species